rnacentral:rRNA from 1 species
CCUACGGGUGGCAGCAGUGGGGAAUCUUGCACAAUGGACGAAAGUCUGAUGCAGCGAUUCCGCGUGGAGGAUGACGCAUUACGGUGUGUAAACUCCUUUUCUGGUGGAAGACGAAUGACGGUACACCAGGAAUAAGGGACGGCUAACUACGUGCCAGCAGCCGCGGUAAUACGUAGGUCCCAAGCGUUAUCCGGAUUUACUGGGCGUAAAGUGUCCGUAGCCUGAUAUGUAAGUCUGUUUUCAAAUACCUGGACUCAAUCGAGGGAAGGGAAUAGAUACUGCAUAUCUAGAGAUAUUUGGAGGUUAGUGGAAUUUCGGGUGGAGCGGUGAAAUGCGUUGAUAUCCGAAAGAACGCCGAAAGCGAAAGCAGCUAACUACAAUACAUCUGACGGUGAGGGACGAAAGUUUGGGGAGCAAACGGGAUUAGAUACCCUGGUAGUC